rnacentral:lncRNA from 1 species
UUGGUGUCGGAUCCCGCACCAGAAGUACGAGACCAACCAAAGAUUGCCACGUAAUCAGGAUAAUGGCCCGUAAAGGAUGAAGCCCAUUGGAUCCGUGAGCCGAAGGGAUGGUCGAAGUGGUUGUCACCAUUUCGAGAAUCCGAAGUGACUGCACUGUGACACGAGUUUGGUGUAGAAGACACGGGUAAGUCGGUUCAAGGACACUUGGGCCAAAAGAGGCGAGGCCCAUGAAGAUCAGAGUCAAC